AGAGUUUGAUCCUGGCUCAGAACGAACGCUGGCGGCGCGUCUUAAGCAUGCAAGUCGGACGGGAUCGGUAGCUUGCUACCGUGAGAGUGGCGGACUGGUGAGUAACACGUAGGUGACGUACCCCCCGGAUUGGGAACAGCCUGUAGAAAUACAGGGUAAUGCCGGAUACGCUCGCUCCUGUUGGAGGGGAGUGAGGAAGACGAAGCAACUGCUUCGCCGGGGGAACGGCCUGCGGGCCAUCAGCUAGUUGGCGGGGUAAAGGCCCACCAAGGCAAUGACGGUUAUCCGGCCUUAGAGGGUGAACGGACACAUUGGGACUGAGAUACGGCCCAGACUCCUACGGGAGGCAGCAGCUAAGAAUAUUCCGCAAUGGGGGAAACCCUGACGGAGCGACGCCGCGUGGACGAUGAAGGCCGGAAGGUUGUAAAGUCCUUUUAUGGCAGAGGAAUAAGCGGGGGAGUGGAAAGCCCCCGUGAUGACUGUAGGCCAUGAAUAAGCACCGGCUAAUUACGUGCCAGCAGCCGCGGUAACACGUAAGGUGCGAGCGUUGUUCGGAAUCAUUGGGCGUAAAGGGCAUGUAGGCGGUCUGUCAAGCCAGGCGUGAAAGCCAGGGGCUCAACCCCUGAACUGCGCUUGGAACUGGCGGACUGGAGUCGCUGAGGGGGAACCGGAAUUCCUGGUGUAGGGGUGAAAUCUGUAGAUAUCAGGAAGAACACCGAUGGCGAAGGCAGGUUUCCAGCAGACGACUGACGCUGAGGUGCGAAGGUGCGGGGAGCAAACAGGAUUAGAUACCCUGGUAGUCCGCACAGUAAACGAUGUACACUGGAUGUCCGGCCAUGAGGCUGGGUGUCGAAGCAAACGCGAUAAGUGUACCGCCUGGGGAGUAUGCCCGCAAGGGUGAAACUCAAAGGAAUUGACGGGGGCCCGCACAAGCGGUGGAGCAUGUGGUUUAAUUCGAUGGUACGCGAGGAACCUUACCCGGGUUUGACAUACAAGGGAAUGGCGCAGAGAUGCGCCCGUGUAGCAAUACAUCCUUGAACAGGUGCUGCAUGGCUGUCGUCAGCUCGUGCCGUGAGGUGUUGGGUUAAGUCCCGCAACGAGCGCAACCCCUACCGUCAGUUACCAGCAGGUAAAGCUGGGGACUCUGGCGGAACUGCCGGUGACAAACCGGAGGAAGGCGGGGAUGACGUCAAGUCAUCAUGGCCCUUAUGUCCGGGGCUACACACGUGCUACAAUGGCAGGUACAGAGUGAGGCGAGGCCGCGAGGCGGAGCAAAACGCAGAAAGCCUGCCGUAGUUCGGAUCGGAGUCUGAAACCCGACUCCGUGAAGUUGGAAUCGCUAGUAAUCGCGCAUCAGCACGGCGCGGUGAAUACGUUCCCGGGCCUUGCACACACCGCCCGUCA
rnacentral:rRNA from 1 species